rnacentral:tRNA from 1 species
GCCCUGGUAGUGUAGCCCGGUCUAGCACAUAUUUUUUCAGAGGCUAUAACCCGAGUUCAAAUCUCGGCCAGGGCGCCA